GGAGCAUAUUGAAUUUUUCUCCUGGCAGAAGAAUAUUUUUCACUUCUUGAAAAAAUGAAGACUUUUCAAUUUUACAACGACUUGAAAGAAUAUCUUUUACGGGAAGAAUUUAGCAACAAUUUAACGGUCAGAGAGCGAAGUGAAAUACGACGUGUGUCCGUGAAUUUUAUGAUUAAAGUCCAUCAUCCAUGCCCUGGCUGCUCUACAGGGUGUAUCAGGACAGGAGGCAGAAGACUUAUUUCUUGGUGGCCCAGAAUACAGUAUCAGUGAAGUGGAAGAAUUUAACUGAAAGAUAGGGCAGCAAUUAAAGAAGGAGGGAAUGCUGUGAUAUCUGUUGGAAUAGAAGAUGAUGCUACUGCCCAGUGCUUCCAGAAUCCUUCAUUUGAGUCUUGGGUCUGAAUCUACUGCGUCAUUGCCAAGUAUUCUGGGUGAUGCCCUUUGCCGUGCACCCUGGUCAAGUCUUGUGCAACUGACUGUGGUGCUGAAGAGAGAAGAUUUCUGAAGACCCUCUUGAAAUGGAGCUGCAAUUGGAUUAACACCACAACAGUAUGCUGGCUGAGAAUGUCCACAGGGGCCUGGGGAGGCUGUGACCUUGUGACCUGAGACGUUGUUUUGUCAAUCAUCCUGACCAA